UGGGGAAUUUUGGACAAUGGGCGAAAGCCUGAUCCAGCAAUGCCGCGUGUGUGAAGAAGGCCUUCGGGUUGUAAAGCACUUUUGUCCGGAAAGAAAUCCUUGGCUCUAAUACAGUCGGGGGAUGACGGUACCGGAAGAAUAAGCACCGGCUAACUACGUGCCAGCGGCCGCGGUAAUACGUAGGGUGCAAGCGUUAAUCGGAAUUACUGGGCGUAAAGCGUGCGCAGGCGGUUUGCUAAGACCGAUGUGAAAUCCCCGGGCUCAACCUGGGAACUGCAUUGGUGACUGGGCAGGCUAGAGUAUGGCAGAGGGGGGUAGAAUUCCACGUGUAGCAGUGAAAUGCGUAGAGAUGUGGAGGAAUACCGAUGGCGAAGGCAGCCCCCUGGGCCAAUACUGACGCUCAUGCACGAAAGCGUGGGGAGCAAACAGGAUUAGAUACCCUGGUAGUCCACGCCCUAAACGAUGUCAACUAGUUGUUGGGGAUUCAUUUCCUUAGUAACGUAGCUAACGCGUGAAGUUGACCGCCUGGGGGAGUACGGUCGCAAGAUUAAAACUUAAAUGAAUUGACGGGGUCAUAGCUGUUUCCU
rnacentral:rRNA from 1 species